GUGCUCACUUUGGCAGCACAUGUACUAAAAUAGGAACCAUACAGAGAAGACUAGCAUGGCCCCUGUGCAAAGAUGACAUGGAAAUUCAUGAAGUGUUACAUAUUUUU